GUUUAUGUACUUGGGUUAAUCAUUCUACAAUAUACCUCUUUCACCAUAACCAAAUUGCUUUCAAAAUUCACAUCAAAUUUGUCACAUUUGCUUAUACUAGUUUUGGGCACAGAGAGAGAGGGAGAGAGAGAGAGAGAGAGAGAGAGAGAGAGAGAGAGAGAGACCAAGGCACCUCACUUCUGGUUUUGAAUCAAUUUACAAAUUCAACAAUAUGCCAUAAGAUUUGUGCACCUGCCGGCUGGAGAGGAUCGCUCAGUCGGCGUUUUCUUCCUUAACUGCAACUU
rnacentral:lncRNA from 1 species